UUUAUACUUUGAUCUUGACAUAUGUUUCAUCAUCUUUCGCUUUCGUUCAACCCAAUACAUUCCCUCUGCUUUACUGCUAUAUCUACGUACAUACAGAGAGAUAACUUGCUAUGGUGACUAAACCCUCAUAUGCAAAUCCCAUAUCCAUCAGCUCUUUCUAGUGCUCUGUGUAUUUAGUUUUUCUUGAGAAUAUGAAUGAUUCCAAGUAUGGUUAUCCUUACCCUCCACCAGGUGCUUAUCAAGGGCCUCCUCCUGUGAUGGCUCCUCCUCAGUAUUAUGCAGCUCCUCCACCGCAAACCCAAAAACAAGUUGGAUUUCUUGAGGGAUGCCUUGCAGCUUUAUGUUGCUGCUGUCUCUUGGAUGGUUGUUGCUGUGAACCUUCAGUUGUGUUUGUGACCUAAUCCAUGCAUGCCUCUGUCAUUUACUGCAAAAAGUCUCUCACCAGUUUUUAUAUAUAUCAGUAAUUUAUUUUUAUGUUAAAUAUAUAGAGAUCUGCUGUGAGAAUUCCAUUGAUGC